GCCUUGAUGAGGUCCUAUACAAAAAAGAGAGACAUUGUUAGACCGGGGGUGACUAGAUUUGCGUCGGCAUUUCUUACCUUGCAAAGUCUUGAUGCUAAGAGGAAGCAACUAAAGGAAAUGUGUUGUAGUGAUACUUGGGAAGGAUGCAAGCACACGAGAACAAAGAAAGGGAAGGUGGCUCAUGCCGCAAUAAUGAGUAGGGCAUUUUGGAAAAAUGUGUCUCUUUGCAUUAAGGUUUUUGAGCCAUUGGUGAAGAUACUUCGGUUGGCUGAUGGCGAUGGACAGUCCAUGGCCUCUAUGUAUGGAGAAAUAAUAGAGGCAAAGAAGGCAAUAUUGGUUGCGGUUGAUAAUUCGGACAAGGACUAUAAGGCGAUCACAACGGCCAUGGAGAGCAAGAUGAAUGGGAGGCUAGAUACCCCAUUGCACAUGGCUGCAUAUGCCUUGAAUCCAUAUUAUAGUUAUGCUACCACAAGCAUCUUUACCGAUGUGGAAGUCAUGUCCGGCUUGAUGGAAGUUAUUGAGCAAUUUUAUCUCGAUGAUGAUGAGAAGCAAAACAAAGUGCUUAACAUUGACUUGCCCAAAUUUAAAAAGAAGGAAGGCAUGUUUGGGAAGGUGGCUGCCACCAAAGCAAUUAGCAAUGCAAAUUUCAAUGCCGGGGAAUGGUGGGCAACUUAUGGACUACAAACUCCUACAUUGAUGCACAUUGCUUUGAGGAUACUCAACUUGACCACAAGUUCAUCCGGAUGUGAAAGAAAUUGG
rnacentral:rRNA from 1 species